rnacentral:lncRNA from 1 species
UUUAUAGUGACGACGCGCCCUCUCUUGGACGGCAUCCUUAGGGGCCGUCUUAAUGCGCGAGAUUGGACAUAUUUUGACAUUUUUCUGAGCUCCAUCGUCGGCCACUCGCUGCCCUCACUCUCUGAAGAAGUAUGGACUUCUCCUCGACCAUGGGGGGCUACGCUGGGCUGGGCUGGGCUGGGUCUUCAUGAUUGAUUCCCGAACUUGUCCCCGUCCGUCUGGUCUCCCACAUUUACUGCCUCAUAGCCGCCGCCGGCGCCGCCCCUCAUCUAUGAGUCAACUUCUAUUGCUGUAGGCUUCAAUGUGAGGUCACGACUGGUGGGCUGAUUAUGCGUUGAAAGGAUUAGGCUGGUGAGAACCAAGAAGCAAAGGAUGCCGGCAGUCAAUGGGUCAACUUUUCAAAUGGACUAUGGGUCAAACCACAGAAAUACAAUUUAUUGUUGUUUGACUCCCCCGAUUGCGGCUAUUAUUUCAAAACAUAUUUUAAGAGAAAAAAAUGCAAACUUCAUUUUUCGCGUACCUCAGUCGGCAGUUCUACCUGAGGAGAACGAGUUACAGAGGAAGAACGGGAAGAACAGUUGCAGAGGAUUCUUCCGCGAGGAGAAGGAGAAGUUACAGGGCUCAUCUUCUUGACGACGACGGUAAUGCUAUUCCUGCUGUUCUUCUUCANNNNN